UGGGCUAUUUUACUUACCUCAUUUUCUUACUCAUUCUGUUUUUUUGUUUUGUUUGGUUUGGUUUUUUGGUUUUUUCUGUUUGUUUUUUGUUUUUUGUCUUUUUAUGGCCACACAUGUGGCAUAUGGGAAGUUUCUAGGCUAGGGGUCCAGUCAGAGCUACAGCUGCCAGCCACAGCCACAGCCAUGCAGGAUCCGAGCUUCGUCUGAGACCUACACCACAGCUCACGGUAAUGCCAGAUCCUUAACGCACUGGGCGAGGCCAGGGAUCGAACCCAUAACCUCAUUGUUCCUAGUCGGAUUUGUUUCUACUGCGCCACAACGGAAACUCCAGUUUUGUCUUUUUAAAUUGAUUUGCAGGAGUUCUUUAUAGAGUUUUAGUCCUUUGUGUGUAAUACAUUUUGCAAAUAUUUUCCCCCUAAUUUAAUGUCUCACCACAACACUGUAUCUUUUGACAAACAGAAGAUCUUAAUUUUUUUAAAUUUUAUUUUCAUGGCCGCACCCACAGUAUAUGGAAGUUCCCAGGCCAGGGAUUGUAUCCAAGCCACAGCUGUGACCUACAUCACAGCUGCAGCAACUUCAGAUACUUAAAACCACUGUGCCAGGCCGGGGAGCGAACAUGUACCUCUGCAGCAACUUGAGGCACUGCAAUUGGAUUCUUAACCCGGAGUGCUACAGUGGGAACUCCCAAUCUUAAUUUUAUUUAUUUAUUUAUUUAUUGUCUUUUUGCCUUUUCUAGGGCCGCAACCGUGGCAUAUGGAGGUUCCCAGGCUAAGGGUCGAAUCAGAGCUGCAGCCACCAGCCUAUGCCAGAGCCACAGCAAUGCCAGAUCCAAGCCGUGUCUUUGACCCACACCGCAGCUCAUGGCAGUGCCAGAUCUUUAACCCACUGAGCAAGGCCAGGGAUCGUUUCUAGUUGGAUUCGUUAACCACUGUGCCAUGGCAGGAACUCUCCAAUCUUAAUUUUAAUAUAGGUGAAUUUAUGAAUCAUCGUUUUAUAGUUGGUGGGAAGAACACUACUUGAAGUCAAGUAUUCUAUUUUGUCUUCUAAAAGUUGUAAAGUUUUGCCUUUCAAGUGUAUGGUUUUUGCAUAUAGGGUGAGGAGUCAUGCAGCCUCUGACUCCCUUUUGGGCUUUGUGACCUCCUAUAAAUGAUUUCUUCCACAUCAAUGUCCUUGACUGCAAAAAUGAGACCCUGAUCCCUACUGUGUGUAAAGUUCUCGUGAGGUUAGAAUACAGCAUCCCAGCACACUGAGCCCCAAAUCUCAGUAGCUAUUCAGUAAUUGCUCCUUGGUCUAAGUCCAACUGCAUUCCCUAAGCAUGUGGACACUCAAGGAAAGUUGGCAAUUAACUGGGGAAGUUGUUGCUAGUACACAGCCUGCCAACUGCUACAACCAUCGCCAGGCUGGGUCUGAAUGCUCAGCAAAUCCCCCCACAGGGCACUGGCAGCUUGGAGAAUGUUCAUCCCUGUGCAGACUUGCCUGCUGCAGGCAGGUGCUCAGUCUUAGAGCUGAUUAGUGCAAAUCUGAUUCAUUGUAGAAAUGACUGCUUCCUAACUCCCUGGUACAGUCACAAAGUGGAGUCUGGACAUUCUAACCAGGAGCUUUGGACCUUGAAAGGAGCUUGCUUAGUUUCUGCCAAUGACAACAUGUGCACACACGUUGUGCAUUCCUGUGAGCAAACAGGAGGCUUGGGAUCUGUUUUUGUUGUUGUUGUUGUUUUUCAUUUGGCCACCUCGAGGUAUUUGGAGUUCCUGGGGCAGGAUCAGAGCCGAGCUGCAGUUGUGACCUAUGCUGCAGGUGCGGCAGUGCUGGAUCCUUAACCCACUGUGCAGGGCUGGGGAUCAAACCUUUGUCCCAGCACUUCCAGGAUUGCUGCAGAUCCUGUUGCACCACAGCAGGAACUAAUGGUUGGUUUUUUUGUUUUUGUUUUUGUCACAACCUUGACUCAUGGGGAGAUAGAAGGGCUGGGAUUGUGUGGUGUACAAUUAGAGAUGUCUGUGAUCAGAGAGGCCUUGCGUUUCCCUCUGGAGAAAAGUAAUGACCACAAAGCAUGGGCGGGCAUUUCUUAGUGUGUUCUGGGAGGUCAGAUGUCAGAAAGGAGACCAAAGGGCAUCAACUUCAAGCCUUGUUCAUGGAGUCUCUUGCAGUGGCUAUUGCACUCUCUUGAGCCUUUUUCAGUUGCACUUCCCAUUGUUCCUGCUUGCCAUUUUGAUCAGGAGCUUCCUUAUACAUGUUUUAUGGAGGGGACCACCGAGUUGGGCAGGCCAUCAAACAUUUGUUGAUCCUUUUCAACCCUGUAAUGUCCACACUUGAAAAACUGGAGACGUCCCAAUGAAAAACAGCUGGGUAGUGGUUUGUAAGCUUUGGUCUUUUGUGGUGGGUAGUGGCUGCCAUAUCACAGUUAAAGGUGACAGAUAGAAUCAAUACACAUGUCCCAUCCACACCAGAACACAGUAGGAAGGGAAUAUUGAUUGUAAAUAAUCCUGUGGGCUUACACAUGUGAAAAUAGAUGUUGUGAUGCAGGGUGACCUUUCCCUACUUGUGUAACUUUGUUAUCUUUUAUUGUGAUGACAGCUAAAUGUUUUAAUCAGGAGCGCUCAGUCAACAGGCAAAGUUGAUUUGUUUGUUGCUGCUUGCUCCCUCUAAACCAGAAGUGUUCUGUUUCCAGUAAAGUUGUUUGUCUCUCCAGCACUCGUUGCCUAGGAGUCCCCCUCCCAACCCUAUAGGAGCAAAGAUUUACUAGUCAAGAUUUAACCCAAACUGUAAAAUUGGGCCAAGGUCCUCUAGGAAAUAUUAAGUAUGAAAAAUUAUUCUACACAGUAGCUUUGUUUGAUCAGGGUAAGUUAAUUUUCUCAAAAGAUUAAUGAUAGAGCUCCAUGGUGGGUUAAGAAGGGUUAAGGAUCUGGCGCUGGCGCUGCCAUGGCUUGAGAUGCUUCUGUGGUGUGGAUCCAAUCCCUGGCCCUGGAACUUCUAUAUGCGUGGAUGCAGAAAAAAAAAAAA
rnacentral:lncRNA from 1 species